ACGUAGGUGGCGAGCGUUGUUCGGAAUCACUGGGCAUAAAGCGCGCGUAGGCGGCCAAGUCAGUCGGGUGUGAAAGCCCUCGGCUCAACCGAGGAACUGCGCCCGAUACUGCUUGGCUUGAGGGUUGGAGGGGAGAGUGGAAUUCCCGGUGGAGCGGUGAAAUGCGUAGAUAUCAUUUGGAACGCCAAUGGUGAAAACAGGUAGCUGGGAGUGUGCUGACGCUGAGACACGAAAGCCAGGGGAGCGAACGGGA
rnacentral:rRNA from 1 species